rnacentral:lncRNA from 12 species
AUGCUUGUCUGCGAGCUGCUGCUCCGGCUGGCAGAGCGGCCUGGAGGCGGGCCAGGGCGCCAUGGAGGCAGGGGGCUCCCCAGGUUCGGAACAAAGACCUCUCAGGCAGGUCCCCUGAGCCUGGGCCUGCAGGCCGGUGCUGGAGCCCGAGAGAGCUUAGGGAGCCGGCCCGCGGGGCCUGGGUCGGUUUUCGGGGGAUCUCGUCAAGCUCCCGAGUGCUGGAUCCCAGUCCGAGCUCCCCAUCUGAUGUCUGCGACCCUGGACACGAGCCGGUCCCUCUCUGUGCCCAGGGCGGCCCCAUCGGCACUUGGAGAGUUAGUCCUGGGGCUGCUACGGGGUCUCAAAGAUGAUGCUCGGAUCGGGGAGCUGGCCAGGAGGCAACGGGGGUCCCCACUAACGAGCCACCCCUCCGCCGCCGCAUGUAAGGGCCCAGAGAGGGGCAGACACGGCGACUCCGCAGGCUCGUGUCCCCAGAAGCCUGGCUCCUCGCCUUUCUCCUCCUCGGCCUCUGAUGUUGGAGGGAGCUGGGGGCAGGAGGGGGCCAUCUGGACGGGAGAGCGCUGGGGCUUCCUCAAGGCACUAGUUUUUGGCGGGAACCCCUCGAGAACAGGAGGUCUGUGGCCUGCCAGCUGUGCAGGGAGGGCAGCCGAGUUGGGGGCUCUGCGCUCAGCCUUUUUGGAAGGGCCCAGUCACUCGCUACGAGGAGUCUUCCUUCCCCUUCACUCCCGGCGCCCCCCACCCCCACCCCCAGCCCAGGUCUGAUGGUUUCAGAGUCCCGGUCCGGUCCCUGGGUUUGAAGGUCUGAAUCCGCUGCACUUCCUGUCUGCAAGGUGUGGUGACAGCCCGCCACCCGUCUACGACUGCUUCCCCAUCUGGGAGGUGUCAGGCCGAGGUGGGAGCAGGGAGGGGGCGCCCCGCGCAGCUUCAGAAGGCCUGGGGAGGCCGAGGUAGGUGCAUGGCUGCAGCUGGCCCAGGAGAACCUGAGAGAUUGAGCUGCAAAGACGAGGGUCCUCAGCUUUGGAGCGGCUGAAGGGGCAGAGAAGGAAGCCCUGUGGGGGUGGCCGGCCCACUCGGGACCUGGAGAAGGAGAUCAGACCAGAAGGGGCUCCGUGGACCCUCGGGCAGGGGUGAGGAGAGAGGAGGACAGAGCGGAGGAGAGAGGAGCCAUAGGGAAGGAGGAGGGAGUGGCCGGUGCUUCCCCGGGAGGCUGGCUUCUGCAAGGCGGGCAGGGCCUGCACCUGACAGCCCUGCGCCUGUGGGGGAUUUCACACUCACAGAGCCUUUUAGGGUUCAGCCCCCAGUUGGUAUGGCUGGGGCUUCCACCCAGCCCCACCGCCUUUCCGGAGCAGCCCUGUGUGCCUCACAGAUGGCUUGUGGCUGCCAUUCGAGCACCUCUGCCCGCAGCUCUCUGCCAAGUUCUGUUCAUACUUUCAGACCUCUGGGCCAUCACCUAUGCUGUUCCCUCGGCCUGGAAUGCCCUUCCCCGUUCUUUGCCCCCACAUCCUCUUUGCCCAGCUUAAUGCUUCCUUCAUCAAUAACCCCCUGUAUGGUUACCCACCCCACCCCACCCCGAAUCGAAACUUUGGAACACUUGGGCUCAUGUCAGUAGUCCCUGUGUCUCCUAGAGUGCUUGGCACACAGCAGAAGGUCAUGGGUUUUUUAAAGUUGGCUUGCACCCACUGGGUGUUCAGUGUGGGUCUCUAUAGUGGGUCCUCUAUAGUGGGUCCUCAGGAGGGGGGAGGGAGUUAACAGCUCCGAAGCU